ACAUUUCAUGAGGAACAGAAGAGCUCGUCACUGUCUAUAUGAAGAGUACCUGCAGGAAACUGCUUCAAUUGAUCUGUAGCAGAAAUUUUCUUUGUUAUGUGGGGUGCCUUCACACUCCUCUCACUCAUCUUUUCAGCUUGCAGUGUGCAAAAUGCUGAAAUCAUAGGAUCAUAGAAAUUUCAGGUUGUAACGGACCUCAGAUGGUCUAGUCCAACCCGCUGCUUAAAGCAGGACCAGCCCCAACUAUGUAAUCCCAGAAAAGGCUUUACUUAACCUUGGGGUGAGUGGGGUAUGUAGGGAGAGCCUGGGAGAGAAUGGGGAGGGUUCCUUCCAGGUGCCUGCUCCCACAGCUGGGUGUGGGGUAGGGGCUCCCCCUGGCCUGGUGCAAGGUCUCCUCAGCUCUGCUUUGCUUUGCUGCCAUGCAGGAGAAUUUCCUCCUCCCUGUCUCUGUGCCUCUGUGCAGUGGGACAGAGCAGAGAUCAGGAAACCCAUGCCAGGUGCUUGCCCCCACAGCCAGGUGUGGGAUGCUUGUCCCCACUGUGGGGGCUUCCCCCUGCCCAGCAUGGCUCUCCCAAGUCCUGCUCUGCCCCACCAUGCAGAGAAGGGGAGUGGGCAAUUCUCCUCUGCUUCUGUGCAGCAGCAAAACAAAGUGGGACUCAGGAGAGACAAGUUGGGUCGGGGGAAGACCCUGUAGUGGGGGCACCUUGCACCCUAUGCCCAGCUGUGGGGGAACACACCUGGCAUACCCAUGCCCAUAGCCCCUGGGGCAGGGAGUACAUACCUGCUCUGCUCUGUGCAGUGCUUUUAAACUCCCUGCCAAAGUGAGAAAUUGAACAACCUGAUUGGCUGAGCCCCAGCAGAAGGUCAGGCUGUAAUAGGCUGCCCCUGGAUACACAUGGGGAUUCAGUGUUUCUGAGGCUCUGCUGCCUUUCUUCUCUGCUCUUCAGGUGCCAUCUUGUCCAAUACACCAGGGACUAACUCCGAAACCUGCAGAGCUAACAACUCAAAGCUGCAGCAGCGCAGACCUAUGACUCCAUGGACCAGAGAGGAGUUAAAACAAUGUACUGACUAACCGUGAUUCUCUGCAGAGAGUUUCAUCUACCUUAGCUUUGAGUGAAAAUAACCAAAGGCAGAGACAGCAAGCAUCUCUGAAAGAGGCUUGACAAACCAUGGAGACCUUCAGAGGAGAAUCCAGUAACUAUAAAGUUUGCACAGCGGUCAUUCAAUAGGCUUCUAUGUGGAAUUUUUGGAAAAUCUCCAGAUGAGGAGUUCAUAGUCAUUUUAAAUUAUUUGCUGAGAAUCUGUAUUAUGUGCACAGCUUCCUGCUGGUAUAAAUUAGGAUAGCAUCACUGACUUAAAGGGAGAAUCUGGCUCAGUCUUUCCACUGUGUUUAUUUCUUUAAAUAAAGUAUGCAUUAGCUUAAAGUUAUAAUUAGCACCAUGCAAUAUUUUUUAAUAAAUAGUU